UGGGAAAGUGAAAACGGAAUUAAAGAAUGGAUAGAACGUGUGGCUGGGGAUGAUACCAAAGCUUUUUGUCGGUACUGCAAAAUCGAGAUUCGUGCGCACCACAGUGAUCUCCAAAACCACAGCAAAACGGGGAAACACAUUCGAAAUGCUGCUCCGUUCUCCAGUUGUCGAGCAGGGAGGAAGAGAGAAAAGGGAAGAGAAAGCCUCAAGACAAAGCAACAGGUUAGUUUGUCCGUCAGUGAAUUGGUCUACACCUUCACAGAGCUAUAUUUUAUUUAUGAUAAUAUACUGUAUCUAAUUACACAAGGCCAUUUUAGGACCUAGGUGAAAUAACUGUUUCGGGAAAACUGCUUUUAAUGCUGGCAUACUAACCAUUUGUUGUUACUUUGUAGAUAUUACAAUACAUUUGGAAAUGAUAGCAAUGUUGUUGGACUUUAAAAGCAGUGUAUAUGGUUUGGCACAGGCAUAUUUUGAGUUCUGAUAUUGGGCUUGUUUUUUGGGCUUGUUUUAUUGGCCAUUGGGCUGGUUUGGGCUGGUUUUGAUUGGCCAUUGGGCUGGUUUUGUCACACAGACCUGGCAACCCUGGGGAGACGGGAGGAAGGAGGAGCAGGAGGAAACCCAACUGAUUCAUCCACGAGUUAAACUGAUUUCUGCUCCUUAUUUUCGCGGAGAAAUGAUUGUUUUAAAAACGGAAACAGUGUCAAACCGCAGUUUGCCGCGGUUUAAAAAAAAAAAAAAAGCGUUAAUUGCGUUAAAAUAUUUUAGUGCGUUAACGCGGCCAAAUUAAUCGCAUAGAUUAACGCGUUAACGCUGACAGCCCUAAUAUAUAUAUAACAUAUUAUCCACGAAGUAAACAAGAUAAAAGUUGUAAUAAACCAGAAUUCUCAUGUAAAGUAUUAUUUAGAAAGUGUGAAAGCUGUAAAAUGUUUUAAUCCGACAGUUACCGAAUGCACUCUUGGUUUGUCUCCUCAAUAAUUAUUGUCGGAGAAACAAGCAUGAUUUAAAGUGCUCCCUGAGCUGUGGCAUGUUGAUUGAUAUAAAUUUCACAUCAUUAAAAUCUAAUCCUGUGUUCAGGAAAGCCAUGUCAGAUACGCCUCUUUUUAUGUUUAAUAUGUGGAAGCAUCUCAAACACAAUGAAUUUCCCAGCCAUGGAAAGAAAAUGGUUAUAAAAUAGAGUAUCAAUGGGAUAGGCUGGGGUGUAAAUUAAGACGAUGUGAUUGGUGCUGCGACGAGAACGAUGUUGUGGUGAGGCUCUCUGCGGUAAUGCAUGAAAUAAUAGAUUUAUCUCUGUGUGAAGUGGGUGACAUAACAUUUGCAUUUUAUAAUCGUAAAGGGUGGAGGGGAGUAGAGCAGUGGAGAUGGAGGUUUAUGAAUCUGCCAGAGACGCUAUAGUUUCACCAGCCUCGCUGUUAUUAAAAGGAGUUGGCAUGCAUUAAAAAGAUGACAUGCCGAUUGCUGGUGUCUGGGAAAGAAAUAUGUCCAGAUUUUGAUUUUCUUUUACAAACUGCUGUUGUUUUAGAAUAAUACCCUUGCAUUGUGUUUCACAUUUCAGACAGUGAAUGAGCUGAUCCCACGCAAGUUUAUUAAAUUAUUCACAACGUGGGGUUAUUAUCAUUGUUUCAUAAUGUCACAAUAUCUGACAAAAAACUAGCUUUUUCUGGAGGAGGCUGUGACUCUAUUUUUGUGUUGUUUGUCACCUCGGCUGUAAAAGAAAUGGAAAAUCA